UGUAUAAAUUGCAGCGUCCCCUCGUGGUCUCUCUCUUCAUAGGCCAACCAACAUCCUCCGUGUUUCUAGGGAGUAACCCUGAUAAUCAGACUGCCCAAGAUGGAUGUCAGGACACCCGUAAUAGCAUUUGGAUUCCUGGUUCCAACCUUGAAAAAGGCUAAGAUGUGGCACCUUUAGGCAGUAAAGUAAUAAAAAUUGGGAUACCACAUGAAAAGAAUACUAAGCCUUCGCAGUCUAUCUGUGGUUUGCCAGGAUUGAGCUUUAUGCCAGGAGUCCAAUAAUGUGAGGUCCCACACCAUCUUACUGCUGAAACCCAUGUUUCACAUUAUUGUGAUGGUUGCAUUGUUCAGUUCACAUAAUUGUGGUGGUUGCAUUGUUCAGCUGACUUGAGGAGUGAUAACCUGACAUGGUCAUGCAAAACAGCCUGUACUCCUGCCAUAGUUUACAUGUUGAUGGACCACUUGGGAGCCAAUCUUCUUAUUUUCAAGUACUUUGGGUGUUGUAUGUGUAGUCUUCAGGCAUUUAUGGAAAAGGUUAAGGCCAUCACAAUGCAGCUCUAUAUGAUGUAAUAAAAUCUAAAAUUUUAUAUUUGAAGUUGUUUUCCAUUGCGUCCUUGCCAGAUAUUCCAACAGCCCACUUAAAAUACCUCCCCCUCCCCUCCACCCGCUCCUCAAAUCACAAAACCCCACUCUGGCAAAAGAUGACCCAUUGCCACUACCUUUAUUAUUAUUAUUAUUAAAAAAUACAUUAAACAAGAGGUUCUGCUAUAAAAGGGAAAGCUCCUCCCACCCCUGGGCUCAAGAACUAUCAGUUAUCAAUCAGUCAUCAAUUGGUCAACAUUUCAGGACAAUUGCUCUGAGCGCUAAAUUCAAAUUUCAUAUUCUAAAUCAAAUAUCAUUCCUAGAGUUGUCCACCUAAAAUGUUUCCACGUAAAAUAAUACAAUACCAAGCUGUGUACGCUUUAAAAUACUAGCAUUUUUAUCACAGCGCGAUAAUUUAUGAAUGUGCGUUAGAUUUUUAAUUGCCCAAAAUUUAAAAUGUUACACCGAAAACGUGAGUGGAGUACUAAUUUAUCGAUCUCUCAACACAACUAUCUUGUAAAACCUUGCAAAAAUAGUUUUAUUCCAAGCCGACUGAGCUCGGAGAUAAGCAAUUUUACAGAAGAAUUAUAAUUUGUGACUAGUGUGGAAGUUUUCUGAAUAUAAUUGCAAAGUCGAGCCCUUGGGUGGGAGGUGCUUAUCCUUUUAUAGCGGAACCUCGUGUCUAAGACAUUUUAACCCAUAUGCUGAUCAGAUAGAUCAACGACACAACGCUAAAAUUGAAGUUCAAAAAGUCACUUCUGGGUGUUUUUUUAACGGUCAUGUUAUCAGUUUACUUCCGGAAGGUCGACUUAAACCUCAAGAGUAUUAGAAUCCGCGCUAUUUUACAGGCCAUCUGCUCUAAAUUAUUAGUAAAAUUUUUUUUAAAAACUUCCAAUUGACACGUUCCUUGAAGAGUACCUGUCGGGGUCCGUGGUCAUUUCUUGUGAUGAUAAACUAUCUUCCCCUCACCUUGGCGGCCUUUUUCCAUGUGAUACCUAUGGCUGUGCUCUCCUCAGCCAAUCCGCCUGGCACCUGUCUGCAAGACCAAAACUUAGAGAUAUUUUUAUUAGUCUCUGUUCAUAAUUUAUUUUAUGCAUUUUAGAUGCUUAUACUUUUCGCUAUAUAUUAUGUAGCGUCGAUACACCACAGGCUGCCCAAAUGCCGCCAAAACGGUCACGUGUUGUCGAGUGUUGUGAUGAGAAUGGCGAAGAGUCACCUAGGAAUUACCCUGGUUCCAGAGCCUCGCGCGUCUCUCUAUUUAGUGGCCAGCGAGGUUAACCUGUUAACCACUGAAUAGAGAGACGCUCGAGGCUCUGGGACCAGGGCACCUAGGAAUGUGUGUCGCCAAGAAUGAAGGCUCAAGAGUCUUUUAAUAUUACAUGAGAACACGCGUAUCACGAAGAAUAAAAGCGGCGAAAGAUGCCGAGCUGGAUUGCACGUGAA